rnacentral:rRNA from 1 species
UACGUAGGGUGCGAGCGUUAAUCGGAAUUACUGGGCGUAAAGUGUGCGCAGGCGGCAGAGCAAGUCGAGUGUGAAAGCCCCGGGCUUAACUUGGGAAUUGCGCUCGAAACUACUUUGCUGGAGUGUGGCAGAGGAAGGUGGAAUUCCACGUGUAGCGGUGAAAUGCGUAGAGAUGUGGAGGAACACCAACGGCGAAAGCACUCUGCUGGGCCGACACUGACACUGAGAGACGAAAGCUAGGGGAGCAAAUGGG